GCACAAUGGCAAUCAUAGGCUAUGUUCCCACCAUUUUGGGCCUCCUCAAGUGAUCUACUUGUAGCCGUCGUGGUGCAACGCUUGUAGCUGGCGGAGAUUGAUGCCAUGCAUCCACCUAGUCUGUCAUUUGCCACUCUUUCGUCAUGUUGUUCCUCGGCUAGGUCAGGCUCUUCACACAUUGCCCACUCCACUACUAUUUACAAUUUGACAUGUUUAAUAUUUCAAUGGAGGUCCACGAUCGCCGUUGGCAUCGCAUCAACAAUGGACGCAUC
rnacentral:lncRNA from 1 species